GCUGCACCAUCACUGUUAGCACUUAGCAACAACAAGCUCGACAACUUAACUGUACGUUUUCACCUUCCGUGCCGACGACCACGCAUUAAAGAGUCUCCCGUGUCACAGAUAAGCAGAACAAAACGCACAGCUGGAGCGUCUGCAGAGGUUUUGGUGGGAAUCUGGUCUCCAUCCACGACGCCUUGGAAAAUUCAGCCGUUAAAGAACUGAUUAAGGAAAAGUCUGGUAGUUUGGUAGACACCUGGAUCGGACUCCAUGAUUCAGUCGAGGAGAGUGACCUGAUGUGGACUGAUGGUACAGCCAUUGACUUUGAUGACUUUGGAUGUGGCGAGCCUUCUGGUGACGACUGCGUUGAGAUAAAAGGGACUGAUGAGCAGUGGAAUGAUACCAAGUGCAAUGAUGAACUUCCAUUUGUUUGUGCCAAAAAUUGUGACUAAAAGACCCUCACCACUGCUGUCAUUUUUUUGAGUACAAAUGGCAACUAUUAAUAUUAGUACAAGUAGUAUGUUGAUUGUACACCGCCAUCGUCCACUGCUGUCAA